rnacentral:rRNA from 1 species
UACGUAGGGGGCUAGCGUUGUCCGGAAUCAUUGGGCGUAAAGCGCGCGUAGGCGGCUAGAUCAGUCUGCUGUAAAAGUCAAAGGCUCAACCUUUGAAAGCCGGUGGAUACUGUCUAGCUAGAGUCCGGAAGAGGCGAGUGGAAUUCCUGGUGUAGCGGUGGAAUGCGCAGAUAUCAGGAGGAACACCCGUAGCGAAGGCGGCACUCUGGGCCGAUACUGACACUGAGGAGCGAAAGCGUGGGGAGCGAACAGG